UGGGGAAUUUUGCACAAUGGGGGAAACCCUGAUGCAGCGACGCCGCGUGAUUUAGAAGGCUUUCGGGUUGUAAAAAUCUUUUCUAUGGGAAGAAAAUGACAGUACCAUAGGAAUAAGGACCGGCUAAUUACGUGCCAGCAGCCGCGGUAAUACGUAAGGUCCGAGCGUUGUCCGGAAUCAUUGGGCGUAAAGGGUACGUAGGCGGGUAAGCAAGUUAGAAGUGAAAUCCUAUAGCUCAACUAUAGUAAGCUUUUAAAACUGCUCAUCUUGAGGUAUGGAAGGGAAAGUGGAAUUCCUAGUGUAGCGGUGAAAUGCGCAGAUAUUAGGAGGAAUACCGGUGGCGAAGGCGACUUUCUGGCCAUAACCUGACGCUGAGGUACGAAAGCGUGGGUAGCAAACAGG
rnacentral:rRNA from 1 species